UCCCAAUCCGCUGGAUUGUAACGAUCUGGAGAGGCCAUUAGGGAGCUCGUAGAGGAAAAACCAAAACACUGAAGGAAACUCAAGAACGCGAUCCCAAAAGGUGGUGCUGGGGCAUCGAGGAACAGAUCACAAUCGUGAGAAAAGCAUGAACUCCAUAGGGGGACGCUUGCCUGGAAGAUGAAUAGUUAAAAGAAUGAAAAACGGCUGUGUGCGUUUGACUUUAAGCACCUCUCAUACCACCAUAAAGGUUGCUACAUGCCAGGUUCAAGCAAAGUGUCACUCUCUUAUUCUCUAAUGUAAAACACACUCAGCGGGUUUUGCCAGUCUACUAAACAUUACGGCGCUGACAGACCUGCCGUUGGGAGAUUUUCAACUUGCAUUAAAAAAAAAAAAAAAAAAUUCAAAAGGGUUAGACACAAUAAAGUGACUGGACGUCUGUAAGAAAAGAACA